GCCCACUUAGCUCAGUGGUAGAGCGUGUCAACAGUGCCGUCUCCUAAGAAUUUCUUCGCCGGUUCAGCGUCUGUUUAAUGACAAGAUCAUCAGUUCGACUCUGAUAGUGGGUA